AUGGCGACGGAUGGAGCGAGGAUGAGAAGUAGCGAACUGGAUCCCGCGGAUUGGGUAAGAGCUCAUUCUCAAUGGCUAAUGUAUCAGGGCUUUGGCACCAGCAUCAGCGGUCGGCUGCCGGCCCUCGUCUCGCCAUUGACCUUGCUGGCCGAAGGGCGGCCAUCUAUCUUCCUCCCGGCCUGGAGCCUUGAAGGGAGGCAGUUCAUCUCUGGUUUGGAGUCCCCAGCUUCUUCCGAUGGUAGCGGAUGGAGCGGCUGUGGAGAUCCUGGCGCACCAAGUGGUAGUGUCCCCGGCAGCGAUGGGAUUGGUUCUGUUCCAGAGUUGAUUAGGACCUGA
rnacentral:rRNA from 1 species